AAAUAUCAAAUUAAAAAUUCAAUAUUUAAAUAGCGCGCGAAAACGCUACUUAGACAAUAUGGCGUUCCAAUGGGGUCGGUGACGUCACGUGCCUGUAUUGUUCCCAAGCAAGUGAUGUCAUCAUAAGCCCGGCCAAUCAGGAGCGUUUUGUGUCACGUGACAAACGUUUAAAAAAAUGCAUUUUUAUUUAUGGAUUUUUUAAUAAAUUAAUUAUUAUUUUCAACUUUCAUUAAUAAAUAACCAUUUUUAAACAUAAUAAAUACUAAUUACAAUAAUUGACACUUUUUUUUUCGCAUUGUCAAAUAGCCUAUU